rnacentral:rRNA from 1 species
UACAGAGGUGGCAAGCGUUGUUCGGAAUUACUGGGCGUAAAGGGCGCGUAGGUGGCCUUCUUAGUCAGACGUGAAAUCCCCAGGCUUAACCUGGGAACUGCGUCUGAUACUGGAAGGCUUGAGUUCGGGAGAGGAAUGUGGAAUUCCAGGUGUAGCGGUGAAAUGCGUAGAUAUCUGGAGGAACACCGGUGGCGAAGGCGGCAUCCUGGACCGACACUGACGCUGAGGCGCGAAAGCUAGGGGAGCAAACGGG